rnacentral:rRNA from 1 species
UGGCGAACGGGUGAGUAAUACAUCGGAACGUGUCCGCUCGUGGGGGACAACCAGCCGAAAGGUUGGCUAAUACCGCAUGAGUUCUACGGAAGAAAGAGGGGGACCCGCAAGGGCCUCUCGCGAGCGGAGCGGCCGAUGACUGAUUAGCCGGUUGGUGAGGUAACGGCUCACCAAAGCAACGAUCAGUAGCUGGUCUGAGAGGACGACCAGCCACACUAGGACUGAGACACGGCCCAGACUCCUACGGAAGGCAGCAG